rnacentral:rRNA from 1 species
AAGAGACAGCAGCAGCCGCGGUAAUACAGAGGGUGCGAGCGUUAAUCGGAUUUACUGGGCGUAAAGCGUGCGUAGGCGGCUUUUUAAGUCGGAUGUGAAAUCCCUGAGCUUAACUUAGGAAUUGCAUUCGAUACUGGGAAGCUAGAGUAUGGGUGAGGAUGGUAGAAUUCCAGGUGUAGCGGUGAAAUGCGUAGAGAUCUGGAGGAAUACCGAUGGCGAAGGCAGCCAUCUGGCCUAAUACUGACGCUGAGGUACGAAAGCAUGGGGAGCAAACAGGAUUAGAUACCCCUGUAGUCCCUGUCUCUUAUAC